GAUUAGAUACCCCACUAUGCUUAGCCCUAAACCCAGAUAUUUAACACACAAAAAUAUCCGCCAGAGAACUACGAGCAUAACGCUUAAAACUCUAAGGACUUGGCGGUGCCUUAAACCCCCCUAGAGGAGCCUGUUCUAUAAUCGAUAAUCCACGAUCCACCUCACCAUCUCUUGCCAGUACCGCCUAUAUACCGCCGUCACUAGCCUACCCUAUGAAGGAUACAAAAGUAAGCAAAACAGCCAACAAUAGCUAAUAAGUCAGGUCAAGGUGUAGCUAACCGAGAUGGAAGAAAUGGGCUACAUUUUCUAAACUAGAAAUUAUCUCACGGAAAGAACCAUGAAACAAGUUCUACAAGCAGGAUUUAGCAGUAAACAAGGAUUAGAAUGCCCAAUUUAAGCCGGUCCUAAGGCACGCACACACCGCC
rnacentral:rRNA from 1 species